rnacentral:rRNA from 1 species
UACGUAGGGGGCUAGCGUUGUCCGGAAUCAUUGGGCGUAAAGCGCGUGUAGGCGGCUCGGUAAGUCUGCUGUGAAAGUCCAGGGCUCAACCCUGGAAUGCCGGUGGAUACUGUCGAGCUUGAGUCCGGAAGAGGAAAGUGGAAUUCCUGGUGUAGCGGUGAAAUGCGCAGAUAUCAGGAAGAACACCCGUGGCGAAGGCGGCUUUCUGGGACGGUACUGACGCUGAGUGAGCGAAAGCCAGGGGAGCAAACGGG